rnacentral:rRNA from 1 species
UACGAAGGGGGGCUAGCGUUGUUCGGAAUCACUGGGCGUAAAGCGCACGUAGGCGGAUUGUUAAGUCGGGGGUGAAAUCCUGAGGCUCAACCUCAGAACUGCCUUCGAUACUGGCAAUCUCGAGUCCGGAAGAGGUGAGUGGAACUCCUAGUGUAGAGGUGGAAUUCGUAGAUAUUAGGAAGAACACCAGUGGCGAAGGCGGCUCACUGGUCCGGUACUGACGCUGAGGUGCGAAAGCGUGGGGAGCAAACAGG